rnacentral:rRNA from 1 species
AUUGAACGCUGGCGGCAGGCCUAACACAUGCAAGUCGGACGGUAGCACAGAGGAGCUUGCUCCUCGGGUGACGAGUGGCGGACGGGUGAGUAAUGUCUGGGGAUCUGCCCGAUAGGGGGGGAUAACCACUGGAAACGGUGGCUAAUACCGCAUAACGACGCAAGACCAAAGAGGGGGACCUUCGGGCCUCUCACUAUCGGAUGAACCCAGAUGGGAUUAGCUAGUAGGCGGGGUAAUGGCCCACCUAGGCGACGAUCCCUAGCUGGUCUGAGAGGAUGACCAGCCACACUGGAACUGAGACACGGUCCAGACUCCUACGGGAGGCAGCAGUGGGGAAUAUUGCACAAUGGGCGCAAGCCUGAUGCAGCCAUGCCGCGUGUAUGAAGAAGGCCUUCGGGUUGUAAAGUACUUUCAGCGGGGAGGAAGGCGGUGAGGUUAAUAACCUUGCCGAUUGACGUUACCCGCAGAAGAAGCACCGGCUAACUCCGUGCCAGCCGCCGCGGUAA